AGACUCCUACGGGAGGCAGCAGUGGGGAAUAUUGCACAAUGGGCGCAAGCCUGAUGCAGCAAACGCCGCGUGAAGGAAGACGGUUUUCGGAUUGUAAACUUCUGUUCUUAGUGAAGAAUAAUGACGGUAGCUAAGGAGCAAGCCACGGCUAACUACGUGC
rnacentral:rRNA from 1 species